AAAAAGACAAACCCUAGGUUUCUGUGUCCAACGUUUGAUUGUCCGUCUUAUAUGAAUUUUUUUUUAUAAUUACUAUUUUCAUUGUUGUUAGAUGAUAAAACAUGAUUAAUACUUUAUGCGUGACUUGUCUUUUUAAUUNUUUUAUAAUUACUAUUUUCAUUGUUGUUAGAUGAUAAAACAUGAUUAAUACUUUAUGCGUGACUUGUCUUUUUAAUUUUUUCAAAUAAGACGGACGGUUAAACGUUGGAUACGAAAACCCAGGGUUUGUCUUUUU
rfam:Oryza rufipogon genomic scaffold, chr11